GUCCACGCCGUAAACGAUGAGUGCUAGACGCUGGGGGGUUAACCCUUCGGUGUCGCAGCUAACGCAUUAAGCACUCCGCCUGGUGAGUACGGCCGCAAGGUUGAAACUCAAAGGAAUUGACGGGGGCCCCGCACAAGCGGUGGAGCAUGUUGUUUAAUUCGAAGCAACGCGAAGAACCUUACCAGCCCUUGACAUGGGGAGUAUGGGUCGCAGAGACGUGACCCUUCAGUUCGGCUGGCUCCCACACAGGUGCUGCAUGGCUGUCGU
rnacentral:rRNA from 1 species